UACGCAGGGGGCUAGCGUUGCUCGGAAUCACUGGGCGUAAAGCGCGCGUAGGCGGACCUGCAAGUCGGGGGUGAAAGCCUGAGGCUCAACCUCGGAACUGCCUUCGAUACUGCGGGUCUCGAGUCCGGGAGAGGUGAGUGGAAUUCCUAGUGUAGAGGUGAAAUUCGUAGAUAUUAGGAAGAACACCAGUGGCGAAGGCGGCUCACUGGCCCGGUACUGACGCUGAGGCGCGAAAGCGUGGGGAGCAAACAGG
rnacentral:rRNA from 1 species